GAUCAUGGCUCAGGAUGAACGCUGGCGGCGUGCUUAACACAUGCAAGUCGAACGAAACACCUUAUUUGAUUUUCUUCGGAACUGAAGAUUUGGUGAUUGAGUGGCGGACGGGUGAGUAACGCGUGGGUAACCUACCCUGUACAGGGGGGAUAACAGUCAGAAAUGACUGCUAAUACCGCAUAAGACCACAGCACCGCNGUGGUGCGGAAAGGGUAAAACCGUCGGUGUACGAGAGUACGGACCCGUCGUCUAGUAAUUACGG
rnacentral:rRNA from 1 species